UUCUGAGGAAUCUACGUGAAAAUAUUGGAGCUUUUGUACAUGCUCUUUUGCUCGCAAAGCCUGUGGGCCUGAAAAGAAGUAAGCAGUUUCUUGGUUUUUUGGUGUUGCAGCUUCCAAGUAUGCUGGAUGCUUGAAGAAUUUUACAUUGAGUAGCACGGUGAGUAAAGCUGUAACCUUUAAUAUGUGCCAACUUUACAUCAUGAUGUAAAUGGUCAUUAGAAAUCAACUAUACAAUUUAAUUGGUAUGAUUUGAGAUCAGUGCAAAACACAUCAUGGACCAUUCCAACUUGGAUUUCAAAUUGGGAGCUUUCCAUAACAAUACUGAUGGUUUGCUUUAAUUUAUGACCAAAUCCACUUAAGUUUGUUAGGUUUGUGAUAAUGAGACAUUCUGGUUAUUAGUCAGUUAUUUAUUUUCUUGAUUUAUAUUGCUUAGUCGUUUAUCUUCAUUUAUUUCUCUCUCUUCGUAUGAUUCUGUGGACUGAUGGGGACAUC
rnacentral:lncRNA from 1 species